rnacentral:lncRNA from 1 species
UGACGGUGAUCGUUGUCGCCGCGUCUUCUGUGGAACCCAAGCAGUGCCGAAGGAAGUCGCAAGGCUCUUCCCCGACCAUUUGCUCCUCUCCCUGCGCGAGACACUGGGAUUCGUGGCAUGAGUCACCAUGUCCAGCUUCUUUGUGGUUUGUUUGAUGUUUCUGUUGUCCUUAGAGACUCAUCUAAGGUAUCACUGCUUCUAGGACCAGCGAUUGCAUAAGGCCCCUUGAUUGAAUUUAAACAGUCUCCUAGACUGAUUCUGUCUCCCAACAAAAACAAACUGAGGAAGUGGUGAGCCAGGUAGCGGGUGACCCUUAGAGUUUUAGAUUUGCGGUUCCCUUCAUGUGUACUUUACAGAAAACCAGCUAAGCCGGGCGUGGUGACACACGCCUAUAAUCCCAGCACCAGCACUCGGGAGGCAGAGGCAGGCUGAUUUCUGAGUUCCAGGACAGCCCCAGGGCUAUACAGAGAAACCCUGUCUCGGAAAAAAAGAAAAAGAAAAAAGAAAAGCAGCUAAAGUAAAGAAAGGUGUUUAGAAAAGUUAGUGUUAACUUUUUUGUUCUAACUUUUAAUUCUUUAGGAAUGUUCCUUAAGUAGUGAUUUGUAUUAGCUCCUGGGAUUAUAAUGCUAAGCU